rnacentral:rRNA from 1 species
CUCUGGUAUUGAUUGGUGCUUGCAUCAUGAUUUACAUUUGAGUGAGUGGCGAACUGGUGAGUAACACGUGGGAAACCUGCCCAGAAGCGGGGGAUAACACCUGGAAACAGAUGCUAAUACCGCAUAACAACUUGGACCGCAGGGUCCGAGUUUGAAAGAUGGCUUCGGCUAUCACUUUUGGAUGGUCCCGCGGCGUAUUAGCUAGAUGGUGAGGUAACGGCUCACCAUGGCAAUGAUACGUAGCCGACCUGAGAGGGUAAUCGGCCACAUUGGGACUGAGACACGGCCCAAACUCCUACGGGAGGCAGCAGUAGGGAAUCUUCCACAAUGGACGAAAGUCUGAUGGAGCAACGCCGCGUGAGUGAAGAAGGGUUUCGGCUCGUAAAACUCUGUUGUUAAAGAAGAACAUAUCUGAGAGUAACUGUUCAGGUAUUGACGGUAUUUAACCAGAAAGCCACGGCUAACUACGUGCCAGCAGCCGCGGUAAUACGUAGGUGGCAAGCGUUGUCCGGAUUUAUUGGGCGUAAAGCGAGCGCAGGCGGUUUUUUAAGUCUGAUGUGAAAGCCUUCGGCUCAACCGAAGAAGUGCAUCGGAAACUGGGAAACUUGAGUGCAGAAGAGGACAGUGGAACUCCAUGUGUAGCGGUGAAAUGCGUAGAUAUAUGGAAGAACACCAGUGGCGAAGGCGGCUGUCUGGUCUGUAACUGACGCUGAGGCUCGAAAGUAUGGGUAGCAAACAGGAUUAGAUACCCUGGUAGUCCAUACCGUAAACGAUGAAUGCUAAGUGUUGGAGGGUUUCCGCCCUUCAGUGCUGCAGCUAACGCAUUAAGCAUUCCGCCUGGGGAGUACGGCCGCAAGGCUGAAACUCAAAGGAAUUGACGGGGGCCCGCACAAGCGGUGGAGCAUGUGGUUUAAUUCGAAGCUACGCGAAGAACCUUACC